rnacentral:rRNA from 1 species
UACGGAGGGUGCGAGCGUUGUCCGGAAUCACUGGGCGUAAAGGGCGCGUAGGCGGCCUGAUAAGUAGGGGGUGAAAUCCUGCGGCUUAACCGCAGGGCUGCCUUCUAAACUGUCAGGCUCGAGCACAGUAGAGGCAGGUGGAAUUCCCGGUGUAGCGGUGGAAUGCGUAGAGAUGGGAAGAACAUCAGUGGCGAAGGCGGCCUGCUGGGCUGUUGCUGACGCUGAGGCGCGACAGCGUGGGGAGCAAACAGG